AGCUCAGCGGUAGAGCAUUCGACUGUUAAUCGAACGGCCGUAGGUUCGAAUCCUAC
rnacentral:tRNA from 1 species